rnacentral:rRNA from 1 species
UACGUAGGGUGCAAGCGUUAAUCGGAAUUACUGGGCGUAAAGCGUGCGCAGGCGGUUAUGCAAGACAGAUGUGAAAUCCCCGGGCUCAACCUGGGAACUGCAUUUGUGACUGCAUGGCUAGAGUGCGGCAGAGGGGGAUGGAAUUCCGCGUGUAGCAGUGAAAUGCGUAGAUAUGCGGAGGAAUACCGAUGGCGAAGGCAAUCCCCUGGGCCUGCACUGACGCUCAUGCACGAAAGCGUGGGGAGCAAACAGG